ensembl:lncRNA
GCUUUACAGUCUCGUCACUUCAUUAUUACCAUAGCAACAUGUUGAUACAUAGGACUUGGAAUGUCUUCAUGGCAUAAUUAUGUAGUUAUUAAGAUGCAAUUACCAAAGUAUUAUGUAACAGCAUAAUAAUAAAGUUUAUACUUAGGAACCAGGUUAAUUGUACAGUGGAUUACUCAGGAACAGUUAUGUUACAGUGGUUACUCAGGAACAGGUUAAUGUUACAGUGGAUUAUCCAGGAACAGGUUAAUGUUAGUGGAUUACUCAGGAACAGGUUAAUGUUAGUGGAUUACUCAGGAACAGGUAAUGUUAAAGUGGAUACUCAGGAACAGGUUAAUGUUAAGUGGAUUACUCAGGAACAGGUUAAUGUUAGUGGAUUACUCGGAACGGUUAAUGUUAAAGUGGAUUACUCGGAACAGGUUAAUGUUAAAGUGGAUUACUCAGGAACAGGUUAAUGUUAGUCUGUUACUCAGGAACAGGUUAAUGUUAAAGUGGAUUACUCAGGAACAGGUUAAUGUUAAAGUGGAUUAAUCAGGAACAGGUUAAUGUUAAAGUGGAUUACUCAGGAACAGGUUAAUGUUGUGGCUUACUCAGGACCAGGUUAAUGUUAAGGAUUACUCAGCGGAACAAGUUCAGUUAGUGGAUUACUCAGGAACAGGUUAAUGUUAGUGGAUUACUCAGGAACAGGUUAAUGUUAACGUGGAUUACUCAGGAACAGGUUAAUGUUAAAGUGGAUUACUCAGGAACAGGUUAACCUGUCUGGGAACGGGGUUCCGCUAGUUAUGCUCGCGGAACCCCUCGCCAACAGCCAGUGAAAUUGCAUGGCGUCAAAUUCAAACAGGAAUCUCAUAAAUCAAAUUUGUCAAACAUACAAGUAUUAAGCACCAUUUUAAUAAAGAUGAAAUUCUCAUUAAUCCAGCCACAGUGUUUGAUUUCAAAAAGGCUUUACAGCGAAAGCUCCACAAAGAUUAUGUUAGGUCACCACCAAGUCACAGAAAAACACACCCAUUUUUCCAGCCAAAGAGAGGAGUCACAAAAAGCACAAAUAGAGAUAAAAUGAAUCACUAACCUUUGAUGAUCUUCAUCAGAUGACACUCAUAGGACUUCAUGUUACACAAUACAUGUAUGCUUUGUUCGAUAAAGUGCAUAUUAAUAUCCAAAAAUCUAAUUUUACAUUGGCAUGUUAUGUUCAGUAGUUCUAGAACAUGCGGUGAUUUUGCAGAGAGCCACAUCAAUUUACAGAAAUACUCAUAAUAAACAUUGAUAAUAGAUACAACUAUUAUACAUGGAACUUUAGAUAAACUUUUCCUGAAUGCAACUGCUGUGUCAGAUUUCAAAUAAACUUUACGGAAAAAGCACACCAUGUAAUAAUCUGAGUACGGCACUCAGAGCCCAAAUCAACCAAAGAAAUAUCCGCCAUGUUGUGGAGUCAACAUUAGUCAGAAAUAGCAUUAUAAAUAUUCACUUACCUUUGAUGAUCUUCAUCAGACUGCACUCCCAGGAAUCCCAGUUCCACAAUAAAUGUUUGUUUUGUUUGAUAAAGUUCAUCAUUUAUACCUCCUUUUGUUAGGGUGUUUGGUAAACAAAUCCAAACGCGCGUGCAAGUCCAGGGGAAAGGUCGGACGAAAAAUCCAAAAAGUUAUAUUACUGGUCGUAGAAACAUAUCAAAUGACGUAUAGAAUCAAUCUUUAGGUUGUUUUUAACAUAAAUCUUCAAUAAUGUCCCAACCGGAAAAUUCCUUCCUGUAGAAAAGCGAUGGAAUGCGUUGUCAUUCUCACAUGACCACGCGUCACAAGCCCGUGGCUCUCUACCAGACACCUGACUAAUUCCCCUCUCAUUCAGCCCCUCCUUCACAGUAGAAGCCUGAAACAACUUUCUAAAGACUGUUGACAUCUAGUGGAAGCCUUGGGAAGUGUAAGAUGACCAAUAUCCCACUAUCUUCAAUUGGGGCUGAGUUGAAAAACGACCAACAUCAGAUUUCCCACUUCCUGGUUGGAUUCUUUCUCAAGUUUUUGCCUGCCAUAUGUGUUCUGUUAUACUCACAGACAUCAUUCAAACAGUUUUAGAAACUUCAGAGUGUUUUCUAUCCAAUACUACUUAUAAUAUGCAUAUAUUCGUAUCUGGGACUGAGUAGCAGGCAGUUUACUCUGGGCAUGCUUUUCAUCCAAAAGUGAAAAUGCUGCCCCCUAUCCCAAUGAAGUUAAUGUUAAAGUGUAUUACUCGGGAACAGUAGCAACACAUGGCUAUUAAGUAUCUAAUGAAACAAAGUAUCCCAAAACUGCCUUCUUGAAUGAAUAACAGCCAGGGUACGUGGAACAUCCUGUUAGUUUGCAUUCUGAGUGAUCUAUCCCUUUAAAGAUGGUCUAGUGUGUGUUUGAACACUUACCCUCAGAUGGACAAAGUUGUUUUUACUAAGCAUCUAACUUGCUGUGUGCCAAUGGUUUUGAAUUAUCAUAAAAUAUAUCAUAAAUUACCGGUAUCAUAAAAUGAAUGGCACGUUUUAAAGAGUCGUACAAUUUAUUUAUACUUCUCUGUACAAAAUAUCAUUGGUUAAUUGGUUUGACUUGACACUUGGGGCAACAGACAUUCAGGAGAAUGGACAUUUACAGAAGAUUUAGAAAGUCAUAUUUGAUCUACACAAUACAUUUCUAUCAGAUAGAUUGGAAUAGUAUAGGACAUUGUGUUUGUUAUUCAUUCUAUCUUUAACAUGCAGGUCUAGAUACAGCCCUGUCAUUAGUAGAAGACAGCCAAUCCAUGUAGAUACAGCCCUCUCAUUAGUAGAAGACAGUCAGUCCAUGUAGAUACAGCCUUGUCAUUAGUAGGAGACAGCCAAUCCAUGUAGAUACAGCCUUGUCAUUAGUAGGAGACAGCCAAUCCAUGUAGAUACAGCCUUGUCAUUAGUAGGCAAGAC